GAAAAAGUAUGCAAGAACUGCUAACUCAUGCCCCCGCACCUAACAAUGCGGCUUUUUCA
rnacentral:tRNA from 1 species